GUGGGGAAUAUUGGACAAUGGGCGCAAGCCUGAUCCAGCCAUGCCGCGUGAGUGAUGAAGGCCCUAGGGUUGUAAAGCUCUUUCACCGGUGAAGAUAAUGACGGUAACCGGAGAAGAAGCCCCGGCUAACUUCGUGCCAGCAGCCGCGGUAAUACGAAGGGGGCUAGCGUUGUUCGGAAUUACUGGGCGUAAAGCGCACGUAGGCGGGUAUUUAAGUCAGGGGUGAAAUCCCGGAGCUCAACUCCGGAACUGCCUUUGAUACUGGGUACCUAGAGUAUGGAAGAGGUAAGUGGAAUUCCGAGUGUAGAGGUGAAAUUCGUAGAUAUUCGGAAGAACACCAGUGGCGAAGGCGACAUACUGGCUCAUUACUGACGCUGAGGCGCGAAAGCGUGGGGAGCAAACAGGAUUAGAUACCCUAGUAGUCC
rnacentral:rRNA from 1 species